rnacentral:rRNA from 1 species
CUCAGUAACGGCGAGUGAAGCGGCAAAAGCUCAAAUUUGAAAUCUGAGGCUUUCAGCCCCCGAGUUGUAAUUUGAAGAUGGUGUUCUGGUGCCGGCCCCCUGUCUACGUUCCUUGGAACAGGACAUCACAGAGGGUGAGAAUCCCGUCUGGCGGGGCGGCCUGGCUCCGUGUAGAGCGCCAUCGACGAGUCGAGUUGUUUGGGAAUGCAGCUCUAAGUGGGUGGUAAAUUCCAUCUAAAGCUAAAUAUUGGCGAGAGACCGAUAGCGAACAAGUACAGUGAUGGAAAGAUGAAAAGAACUUUGAAAAGAGAGUGAAAAAGUACGUGAAAUUGUUGAAAGGGAAGGGUAUUGGAUCAGACUUGGUGCUGUGCGAAUAGCGGCUCUUCUUGGGCCGCCCACUCGCACUCCACCGGGCCAGCAUCGGUUUGGGCGGCAAGACAAUGGCGGGGGAACGUGGCACUGCUCUCGGGCAGUGUGUUUAUAGCCCCCGCUGAUGUUGCCUGCCUAGACCGAGGACUGCGGCUUCUGCCUAGGAUGCUGGCGUAAUGAUCCAACACCGCCCGUCUUGAAACAUGGACCAAGGAGUCUAACGUCUAUGCGAGUGUUUGGGUGUAAAACCCGUACGCGUAAUGAAAGUGAACGUAGGUGAGGGCCCUUUCUGGGUGCAUCAUCGACCGAUCCUGAUGUCUUCGGAUGGAUUUGAGUAAGAGCAUAGCUGUUGGGACCCGAAAGAUGGUG